rnacentral:piRNA from 1 species
UGAGUACCACAACUGUCUGAAUACUUC